CGUUAGUGAUGUGUCAAGUCGAUAAGAGGACUGUCAUGUCUGCACCAGAACACCAUUAAACGUGUAGGAAUCUAACCCCGUACCUUUUAUCAUUUUCGGCGACCUGUAUAGUGGAGUGGUCCACUUAGUGUAUCUACUGUACCUCUCAACACAGAGGUUGUGAUUUCAAAACCUGCACGUGACAACUUGUGUGAAAUGGAAUGUGAACCUUGUAAUCGGUUGGAUAAAAAGAAUUCUGCAGUUCAGUGGUGUAUGUCAUGUCACGAACGGUUAUGCUUAGAAUGUAGUAGUUAUCAUAAAGCUCUUACAGCAACAAAAGACCACAGCUUAAUUUCGAGAAAACAAUAUGAAUCAAUACUACCAAUUCUAAAAUCAGUUGAGAUCAAAUGUGUUCAUCAUACAGAGAAAGAUUUGGAGUAUGUCUGUAAAGAACAUGAGUGUUUUUGUUGUAUUAUAUGUAAACGAGAAACGCAUGUAGAUUGCCGAAAAGUUGAGAAGAUAGAAGAAAUUGUUAGCGAAACUGAUUUAACGAGUGACCUCAAGCAUAUGAAAAACAGGU